CUCGAACUGUCAGUAAUUUUAGCGACAAUCUAUGUGAUUACAAUGAUCAUUCUUUAGAGUGAUUUUUGAAAAUUCCUCUUAUUGAAAAAGACAGGUUAUAUUCUGAAAAAAAUUAUGGAGUAAAAAAACUUGAUGAGAGCUAUGCUGCCCUAGAGAAUAAGUUCCAAUCACAAUUUGGAAUAGUACCUGAAUCUACCUACAGAAAGAUUAAUCAAGAUCAUUGUUUCAUGAUAGCUAAAGUGAAGAAAUUAUAUAACGCUAAAAGUGACAAGUAAAU